rnacentral:rRNA from 1 species
UAGGGAAUAUUGCGCAAUGGGGGAAACCCUGACGCAGCAAUGCCACGUGAGUGAGGAAGGCCUUCGGGUUGUAAAGCUCUGUCCUAUAGGAAGAACUGCGACUGGGUUAAUACCCCAGUCGUUUGACGGUACUAUAGAAGAAAGCACCGGCUAACUCCGUGCCAGCAGCCGCGGUAAUACGGAGGGUGCAAGCGUUGUUCGGAUUUACUGGGCGUAAAGCGCGCGCAGGCGGAUUGGCAAGUCAGAUGUGAAAUCCCGGGGCUCAACCCCGGAACUGCGUCUGAAACUGCUAGUCUAGAGUCUCAUAGGGGGCAGGGGAAUUUCACGUGUAGGGGUAAAAUCCGUAGAGAUGUGAAGGAACACCCGUGGCGAAGGCGCCUGCCUGGAUGAGCACUGACGCUGAGGCGCGAAAGCGUGGGGAGCAAACA